CCUACGGGGGGCAGCAGUAGGGAAUCUUCCACAAUGGGCGCAAGCCUGAUGGAGCAACACCGCGUGAGUGAAGAAGGGUUUCGGCUCGUAAAGCUCUGUUGUCGGAGAAGAACGUGCGUGAGACUAACUGUUCACGCAGUGAUGGUAUCCAACCAGAAAGUCCCGGCUAACUACGUGCCAGCAGCCGCGGUAAUACGAAGGUGGCAAGCGUUAUCCGGGUUUAUUGGGCGUAAAGCGAGCGCAGGCGGUUGCUUAGGUCUGAUGUGAAAGCCCUCGGCUUAACCGAGGAAGUGCAUGGGAAACCGGGCAACUGGAGUGCAGGAGAGGACAGUGGAACUCCAUGUGUAGCGGUGGAAUGCGUAGAUAUAUGGAGGAACACCAGUGGCGAAGGCGGCUGUCUGGUCUGCAACUGACGCUGAGGCUCGAAAGCAUGGGUAGCGAACAGGAUUAGAUACCCUAGUAGUC
rnacentral:rRNA from 1 species